rnacentral:tRNA from 1 species
GGCUCCUUAGCUUAGCGGUGGAGCGGUUGGCUGUUAACCAACAGGUCGCCGGUUCAAAUCCGGCAGGA